UUGCCUCCAAACUAAAUACAGGUUCCAGUUAUGUAAUGAGGGGGUACGCCCUGCGGGGCCAGACGCCGCCUUAUAGAAUUAAUGUCACAAAAGAGACACAAUUCUUCCGUUCAGCGCCGCUGGAAGUGACAGAUGAGCUGCGGGCCGAGGCUGAGAAGCUCCUCUGCCCAAACUCAGUAUGGACCGCAAUAAUGGAAGCUGUCAGGGUAGAGGGGCUUCUGACCGUCCAAGGAGAGGUUAUAGAGGUCUCCGUGAUAAAACAGGUACAGGUGGGGAAGGAAACGGUGACCCUAAAAACAAUUUUUAUAGGACAAAUAUCGGGUUGCGGUGAACAUGUGGAGGGAGGCAGCCAUGCUUCUAACUGAGUUGGGUCAGCAGGCCAGACUGACCCAUGUGAAAGGAAGCAAAACCCCGUAUGGCUUCCGACUUCAGUCAACGGGCACACAGCCCUUGAGGACAUCGUCACCACGGCUGUGGUCAGUGCUCUGGGAACCACUGAAUUCGGGAAGCCUGGCUUCCUGCAGCUCUUGGUUGAGGAGGGAGACACUGUCUAUGACAUUGAGGAGGCCCUGUGGGCUCCCCUUGAAAGAUUUUUGAUAAA